CCUACGGGAGGCUGCAGUGGGGAAUAUUGGACAAUGGGCGAAAGCCUGAUCCAGCCAUGCCGCGUGUGUGAAGAAGGCCUUCGGGUUGUAAAGCACUUUCAGUGGGGAAGAAAGCCUUGGGGCUAAUACCCUCGAGGAAGGACAUCACCCACAGAAGAAGCACCGGCUAACUCCGUGCCAGCAGCCGCGGUAAUACGGAGGGUGCGAGCGUUAAUCGGAAUUACUGGGCGUAAAGCGCGCGUAGGCGGUCUGAUAAGCCGGUUGUGAAAGCCCCGGGCUCAACCUGGGAACGGCAUCCGGAACUGUCAGGCUAGAGUGAGGGAGAGGAAGGUAGAAUUCCCGGUGUAGCGGUGAAAUGCGUAGAGAUCGGGAGGAAUACCAGUGGCGAAGGCGGCCUUCUGGACUGACACUGACGCUGAGGUGCGAAAGCGUGGGUAGCAAACAGGAUUAGAUACCCCAGUAGUC
rnacentral:rRNA from 1 species